rnacentral:tRNA from 1 species
GAGGGUAUAGCUCAGUGGUAGAGCAUGUGCUUAGCAUGCACAAGGUCCUGGGUUCAAUCCCCAGGACCUCCA